UAAUACCCCAAGCUUAAAUAUAAUUGGUCAUGCGCACACUUCCUAAGGAUCGAGUGAUUUCAUCAAGGACAUCAUGAUUGAAGUUGCUACUUUGAAGUUAAGGACAUCAGGAUUUCAUCAAGGACAUCAUGCGCACACUUCCUUGGAAAUAUUAUCGGAGUGUUUUCAAUCUCCCUUCAAUCUACAUACCAAAACUGUCAUUGAUGACUCUCCGGUGGUGCCACUUUGAAGUUGUUGAUGGUUGAAGCAUGAUGCAAUGUCGUAUCCCCCAGAUAGCAGACGAAAAACAGUUGGAGAACAAUUCAUUAGAGAAAAUGAAUAAUACAGCUUGGGUCUAUGUGAAGCGCAUUGCUGAAUAUAAACCGUUGCGGAGGCUCGCAUGUGAUGGUUGAGGUGGACGAGGUCGUACUGCGCACACUUGAAGAAGGUCUUGAUGCUUGAAUGAGAGGUUUUCCAGUUCUUUGUACUUGAGGUUGCAGACCAAAGCUGAAAAUAAGCUUCUGAAUGCUGAAGUUUUUGUACAUAUCAUGUUUGAACCGUGAGAGUGGAGUAAAGGAUAAAUGCGAUGUUAACAGGCUAAAGAAGACAAAGGUGGAAAGAAAUCCUGAUUUGAAAGGUUGGUUACACUUCAGUUCAUGAAGUGAGGCAAAUGGGUACCUUUCUCAAUGGGAUCAAUUCACAGUACAGCCUGUUUCGUGGUUGAGCUUUGUUUUGCUGGUUUUAACUGGAGCAGGAUAGAUAUUUUACUAUGACAGAGAAAAGAAACGGCAUAUUGAAGGUAGAUUACUCUGGUU